rnacentral:tRNA from 1 species
GGGCGUAUAGCUCAGCGGGAGAGCUCCUGCCUUACAAGCAGGCGGUCGCUGGUUCGAUCCCAGCUGCGCCCA